GCGCGACACCAUCUUAACGUAGGUGUUUGGUCUCUGAUCUGUAUGUUAUGGCUCAGAUGGUAGCACGCCCGCCGUAAAACUACAAACAAAUAAAAGUUACAGGCCAAGAUUUCAAUAAACAACAACAAAAAAAAUGUCUGACCCUCCAGUGUACAUUAUCAAAUCGUUCAGGUUUUUAGUAUCUUCUGUACAUUUUGCUCUACCACUGGUCGCCAUAAUACAGGAAGGAUGUGAUUGCACAGCAGCGGAUGCAGAGGAGAUUCACCAGGGUGUUGCCUGUUAUACAAAAUUUAAAUUAUGAAGAAAGAUUUCUCAAUUCUUCCCUACAUUGCCUGCUGAAAAUGAGACACAACACUUCAGACUUGUGAUAAAAAUGAAGAGACUGUCAGCAUUUGCCAUUGAACUUUAAACUGCACAGCGACAACCAGUGACUAGAAAUGUGCCAUCAGAAAUGGAAUUCAGGAAAUUAUUGUACAAGUAGCCCUGCUUCUCCAGAGACUUUGCAAGAUCAAUAUCUCAACAAGCUGAAGUAACCAAGGAAGUCAGUGAGUUCAAAGUUCCUGGAGGGACAUGUCAGCUACUGGAUAUCACCCAAAAGGCAAGUACCCCUGGCUGUUGUGUACCUGGACAAAACCUGGCAUUCUGAAACUGUCUUACUUGAUGAUGGAGAGUAGUUCAGAAGGUGUUGGACAAGGGGAAAACAGUGCUGUGUUCAUUUGACAGGGAUUUGGUGCUCCUAGUGAGUGAGAUUGUCCAGAGGAGGGCUAACCCCUUUCCAAAGAACUGCCAGAGGAUACCAUAACAUCAAAUCUUGGGAGCCUGGUCCAAAGGUGACAACUUAGUUCGUGAUGUUUUGUAGCACAAAAGAGCAGCCAUAGUGUAGAAGAGGCUCAAUGGCCUCCUCUAUUCCACCAGGGUGCCAGAGAAUAGCCUUGGCCCUGGUGGAGGAAUAGGCUGGUGUGCCAGAAGGGAUUUCCCUGAUCUUUCAGGAACGUGCCUGGAGGCCUUAGAGGAAGCAUGGGCAAGACUGCCUCCUGCACGCCUACAAGCUCAGAGACUGACAUGUUUGGAAGUACAAACUGGUGACCAUGUCAUUCUGACAGCUGUGUGGCUGGUCAAGGAAGAAACUACCCAGUCCACAUGUACUUGGAGCACUGCUGGAGACCAGAUAUCUGGUCAGCCCCAGGCAGAUUAAGAUCCUGUCUAUUCAGCACUCAAAGAUUUAAUCAAAAUGCAUGAAGUGGUACAGAGACAGCAGGCAGAUAUGAGGCAGGCAAUGGCCUCCAAUGUCCAGAGGCUGCAGGAGUACAGCUAGGCUAUGGGGACACAGUUACAUCAGGCAUGUGACUGUCUGGCUGUCUCCACAGACAGGUUGGUGGCUGCCAUGGACAGCCACACCAAACACUUUCACAAUCUGCUGGUUUUGCACACAGAUCUGCACUCCAUCACCCUAUGCAUUUUUUCUCAUAACCAAAAGGCAUGAUGACAGGGCAAUGGGAUUGUUGAGCUCACGCAGGUGCCCAGCCAGAACAGGAAGACCCACAAGUCUCAUCUCACCAGAGCAAUAUUCUCAAUAAAUUACCUUUUCUGCUACACAGGUCUCAGAGAUUCCUGUUCAGUAUGGCCUCUACAAGCAGAAGCCAAUUCAUCAGCUGGCAUAUUCACCCACAGACAUGCACUUUAGUGGGAACAGAGGUGAUCCACCUCUGACCUUUGGAUGUUCAAGGCAAGGAGGGUCCACUUGCCUCUGAAAAGAAGACUCUCAGCAUGUCUGGGCCAUCUAAAUACAAACUCACCCAAUGUUGCCUGACUAAAUCCUCAAGGCCUACAAGCUCCGAUGUCGAGAACAAUCUCUCCUCCAUAGCUGUGGAAACUGUGACUGCACUGUAAUGUACUGGGAGGAAUGGCAAAUUGUUGGAACAGGUGGCAUUACACUGUUUAUCAAUGCUCAAAUUUAAAUAAAUGUCAUGGGAUCUGCACUAAAUCUGUUUGUUGGAGUCUGUCAAGCCCCAAAUGGAUCUGUGUCAGCAUGCUGUCUAAUAUCAUGUCCACACAUGAUAUACCCUGGAGGGGUUUCUGUGUUGACAGCAGCAUCCCCUCCUCCAAAGCCCAUUUCCCUUUUUUUAUUUAGGGCAGACCAAGCAAAGUGACUGUCGUCCAGCGCCUCGAGCAAUCUAACCAGACAGCUCCGGUUGAAAAAUGCCCAAACUCCUAUCCAAUAUCCGUGUGUCUCCUGGGCUACAUUAGCCUGAGACACAGA